rnacentral:rRNA from 1 species
GAUGAACGCUGGCGGCGUGCCUAAUACAUGCAAGUCGAGCGAACAGACGAGGAGCUUGCUCCUCUGACGUUAGCGGCGGACGGGUGUGUCACACGUGGAUACCCUCCCUAUCUGACUGAGAUAAUUUCGGAACUCCGGCGAUUAUCCCGGAUAAUAUCUUGAACCGCAUGGUUCAAUAGUGAAAGACGGUUUUGCUGUAACUAAUCGCUGGUUCUGGGCGGCAUUAGCUAGUUGGUAGGGUAACGGCUUAUCACGGCAACGAUGCGUAGCCGACCUGAUAGGGGGAUAGGCCACACUGGAACUGAGACACGGUCCAGACGCCUACGAGAGGCAGCAGAAGGGAAUCUGCCGCAAUGGGCGGAAGCUUUGCGGAGCAACGCCGCGUGAGUGAUGAAGGUGUUCGGAUCGGAAAACUCUGUUAUGAGGGAAGAACAAAUGUGGAAGGAACUGUGCACGGCGUGACGGUACCUAAUCAGAAAGCCACGGCUAACUACGUG